rnacentral:lncRNA from 8 species
UACAUGUCCCUGCUGCGUUUUGGUCCUCUCCCACCAAACAUGGACCAAGCAGCGGAGGAAGGAGCAGCAACAGGUGGAAUAUCGGGAGACAUGGACAGAGAUGAGGAUAAGAAUUUCCAGGGCUAUGGAGGAGUUAAGGGAGCCUGAGAGGCAGCCCCAAUAUUUCUUUUGGGGGGGGCACACGGGUAGUUUGGCUGGGCGAGGAUUGAGCCCCAGGCCAAAUCCCCGUACCUUUCCCAAACAAUCAGUGACUGGACAGGUCCCGUGCUUCGGGGUGAUGGGUGCUGUGACGACGCCGGGUAUUUUCAGGCCGGUACGCGCAGUACCAGCGCCCCGCAUUUGCCAGGGGGAAGUGGGCAUCCAGCCAGUAAGGGCGAUGCCAGUUCUGCACUCGAGACCGCCAGUAAGCCUCUACGGUCCAGUGUUUCCCGCUCCACGCACUAGCCCUGAGGUGCGUGUCUCCAAUCUGGCAAAUCCUAAGCCAGCACCACGCAUCAAGCUUCCAGUGUGUCAGCCUAGUCCAGUACGUUCUGUUCCCGCUCCCCGCACUAGCCCUGAGGUGCGUGUCCCCAAACUGGCACGUCCAGUACCAGCACCACGCAUCAGGCUUCCAGUGCGUAAUAGUAGUUCCUCUCGGCCGGUUCCUGCUUCCCGCACUAGCCCUAGGGUGCGUGUCUCCAGCCUGGAAUCUCCUCUACCAGCCCCACGCAUCAGGCUUCCAGUGCGUCAGUCCAGCCUCGAGAGUUCGGAGACAGUGCCCCGUCCAGAGGAUCCGACAACAGUGUCCAGUCCAGAGUAUCCGGCAACAGUGUCCAGUCCAGAGUAUCCGGCAACAGUGUGCAGUCCCGAGUAUCCGGCAAUAGUGUGCAGUCCAGAGUAUCCGGCAACAGUGUGCAGUCCGGAACCGAGGGAGUCUGCCUGCGACCCGGAACCGAGGGAGUCUUCCUGCGACCCGGAACCGAGGGAGUCUGCCUGCGACCCGGAACCGAGGGAGUCUGCCUGCGACCCGGAACCGAGGGAGACUGCCUGCGACCCGGAACCGAGGGAGUCUGCCUGCGAUUCGGAACCGGAUGAGUCUGCCUGCGGUCCGGAACAGGGUGAAAUGGAAAUUAACUGUGAACUGAAUGAGUCUGCCUACAGUUGCGAACUGAGUGAGUCGGCCUACGAUCUGGAACUGAGUGAGUCGGCCUACGACCCGGAACGGAGUGAGUCUCCUCUACCAGCCCCACGCAUCAGGCUUCCAGUGCGUCAGUCCAGCCUCGAGAGUUCGGAGACAGUGCCCCGUCCAGAGGAUCCGAC